rnacentral:rRNA from 1 species
UACGGAGGAUCCUAGUGUUAUCCGGAUUUAUUGGGUUUAAAGGGAGCGUAGGCGGGAGGUCAAGUCAGCUGUGAAAUGUAUCUGCUUAACGGGUACACUGCAGUUGAAACUGGUUUUCUUGAGUGCGUAAGAGGCAGGCGGAAUUCGUUGUGUAGCGGUGAAAUGCUUAGAUAUGACGAGGAACUCCUAUUGCGAAGGCAGCUUGCUGGGUCGUUACUGACGCUGAUGCUCGAAGGUGCGGGGAUCAAACAGGAUUAGAUACCCCU